rnacentral:rRNA from 1 species
CCUACGGGAGGCAGCAGUGAGGAAUAUUGGUCAAUGGACGAGAGUCUGAACCAGCCAAGUAGCGUGAAGGAUGACUGCCCUAUGGGUUGUAAACUUCUUUUAUAUGGGAAUAAAAUGUUCCACGUGUGGGAUUUUGUAUGUACCAUAUGAAUAAGGAUCGGCAAACUCCGUGCCAGCAGCCGCGGUACUACGGAGGAUCCGAGCGUUAUCCGGAUUUAUUGGGUUUAAAGGGAGCGUAGGUGGAUUGUUAAGUCAGUUGUGAAAGUUUGCGGCUCAACCGUAAAAUUGCAGUUGAAACUGGCAGUCUUGAGUACAGUAGAGGUGGGCGGAAUUUGUGGUGUAGCGGUGAAAUGCUUAGAUAUCACGAAGAACUCCGAUUGCGAAGGCAGUUCACUGGACUGCAACUGACACUGAGGCUCGAAAGUGUGGGUAUCAAACAGGAUUAGAUACCCUGGUAGUC